rnacentral:rRNA from 1 species
CCUACGGGUGGCAGCAGUAGGGAAUAUUGCUCAAUGGGGGAAACCCUGAAGCAGCAACGCCGCGUGGAGGAUGAAGGUUUUCGGAUUGUAAACUCCUUUUGUUAGAGAAGAUAAUGACGGUAUCUAACGAAUAAGCACCGGAUAACUCCGUGCCAGCAGCCGCGGUAAUACGGAGGGUGCAAGCGUUACUCGGAAGCACUGUGCGUAAAGAGCGCGUAGGCGGGAUAGCAAGUCAGAUGUGAAAUCCUAGGGCUUAACCAUAGAACUGCAUUUGAAACUGUUAUUCUAGAGUAUGGGAGAGGUAGGUGGAAUUCUUGGUGUAGGAGUAAAAUCCGUAGAGAUCAAGAGGAAUACUCAUUGCGAAGGCGACCUGCUAGAACAUAACUGACGCUGAUGCGCGAAAGCGUGGGGAGCAAACAGGAUUAGAUACCCUUGUAGUC